UUUCGCAAUGCCCGAAAGGGUGACGAAGCGACGCCGCGUGCGGGAAGAAGGCCUUCGGGUUGUAAACCGCUGUCGGGAGUUAAGAAAUGUAAGGAUGUUAAUAGCAUCUUUGCUUGACUAAGGCUCCGGAGGAAGCCACGGCUAACUCUGUGCCAGCAGCCGCGGUAAUACAGAGGCGGCAAGCGUUGUUCGAAAUUAUUGGGCGUAAAGAGCACGUAGGCGGCUAUGUAAGUCGGUUGUGAAAGCCUUCCGCUCAACGGGAGAACAGCAUCCGAUACUGCAUGGCUUGAGCGCGGGAGGGGAGAGUGGAACUUCUGGUGGAGCGGUGAAAUGCGUAGAUAUCAGAAGGAACGCCGGCGGCGAAAGCGGCUCUCUGGCCCAUAACUGACGCUGAGUGUGCGAAAGCUAGGGGAGCAAACGGGAUUAGAUACCCCGGUAGUCCUAGCCGUAAACGAUGGGCACUAAGUAGAGGGGUUUUA
rnacentral:rRNA from 1 species